GACGAACGCUGGCGGCGUGCUUAACACAUGCAAGUCGAACGGAAAGGCCCUGCUUUUGUGGGGUGCUCGAGUGGCGAACGGGUGAGUAACACGUGAGUAACCUGCCCUUGACUUUGGGAUAAAUUCAGGAAACUGGGGCUAAUACCGGAUAGGAGCUCCUGAUGCAUGGGGGGGGUUGGAAAGUUUCGGCGGUUGGGGAUGGACUCGCGGCUUAUCCGCUUGUUGGUGGGGUAGUGGCCUUCAAAGUCUUUGACGGGUAGCCGGCCUGAGAGGGUGACCGGCCACAUUGGGACUGAGGUACGGCCCAGACUCCUACGGGAGGCAGCAGUGGGGAAUAUUGCACAAUGGGCGGAAGCCUGAUGCAGCAACGCCGCGUGCGGGAUGACGGCCUUCGGGUUGUAAACCGCUUUCGCCUGUGACGAAGCGUGAGUGACGGUAAUGGGUAAAGAAGCACCGGCUAACUACGUG
rnacentral:rRNA from 1 species